rnacentral:rRNA from 1 species
AUGCUUGAGAUUUUCAAUGAAUAUCAUUUGAGCAAGUACAUUACCACCCCUUGUGCUCGCCGUGUUGAUCCCUUGCAUCCUACCCAUGAUGAGGAUCUUGACAUUAUUUGCAAUCUUAGAACUAUCAAUCUUAUCAUUAGAGGAUUGCCGAAAAACUUGAUUGCUAGCUUGCCUACUCUUGAUUGUGCUUGUACCAUAUGGAGAUAUCUUGAGGAAAGAUUUCCAAACUAUUCCUUGCAAAAUCUAGAUGAGAUUCUUCAUAAGUCAAUUGCCUUGAAUAAAAUGAGUAAUAGUGAUCCAAAGUUUCAUGUUCGUCUAUUUGAGCUUCGUGACCUUAUGCGUGCCAAAGGAGAUGUUGGAAUCAUUAGCAAUAUCAUCUUCGAAGCCAUUAGAUUUCAUAAAGAUGAUUAUUGUCAUGAUCAUUUAUCUAAUGAAUCACCCUCUCUAGGAAUUGAUCCAUCACAUGAUGAUGUUGAACAUGGAUACUAUGAUGAGGAUGAUGAGAGUGACUAUGAUCUUGAUGAUGCAAUGAGACACUUUGGUCUUAUGGCAAAUCUUCGCGGCUACAUGGCAGGAGGAAAGGAAUGGGUCCUUGAUAGUGGAUGUACCGAUCACAUGACCGGAGAUAAAGAUAUGUUUUGUGAGCUUGCUGAAAACGACGGCCCUCGAAAGUAUGUCACUUUUGGUGAUAACUCAAAGGGUAAGGUGGUUGGCCUCGGUAAGGUGGCCAUCUCACAUGAUAGCUCCAUACAAAAUGUCAUGCUCGUUGAAUCUCUUGGCUAUAAUUUGCUUUCUGUAUCUAGACUUGCUGAUUUUGGUUUCAAUGUCCUAUUUACUAAAGUAGAUUGCCAAGUGUUUCAUAGAGAUAAUCAUAAAAUGGUCUUUACUAGUAUACAUAGAGGUGAUCUAUACAUUGUUGAUUUCACUAAAAAGGCUCAACCUAGAACUUGCCUAAUUGCUAAAUCUUCUAAAGGCUGGUUGUGGCAUAGACGGUUAGGUCAUGUGGGCAUGCAAAACCUUGACAAGCUUAUUAAAGGUAAUCAUAUCCUUUGUGUUAAAGAUGUCAUAUUUGGUAAGGAUAGACUUUGCAGCGCUUGCCAAUCAUGA